rnacentral:rRNA from 1 species
UACGUAGGGUGCAAGCGUUGUCCGGAAUUAUUGGGCGUAAAGAGCUCGUAGGCGGUCUGUUGCGUCGGCUGUGAAAACCCGGGGCUCAACUCCGGGCCUGCAGCCGAUACGGGCAGACUAGAGUUCGGCAGGGGAGACUGGAAUUCCUGGUGUAGCAGUGAAAUGCGCAGAUAUCAGGAGGAACACCGGUGGCGAAGGCGGGUCUCUGGGCCGAUACUGACGCUGAGGAGCGAAAGCGUGGGGAGCGAACAGG